rnacentral:rRNA from 1 species
CCUACGGGUGGCAGCAGUGAGGAAUAUUGGUCAAUGGCCGCGAGCCUGAACCAGCCAAGUAGCGUGAAGGAUGACUGCCCUACGGGUUGUAAACUUCUUUUGUCAAGGAAUAAAGUGAGGCACGUGUGCCUCCUUGAGUGUACUUGGUGAAUAAGGAUCGGCUAACUCCGUGCCAGCAGCCGCGGUAAUACGGAGGAUCCGAGCGUUAUCCGGAUUUAUUGGGUUUAAAGGGAGCGGAGGGGGGAGGUGAAGUCAGUCGGUAAAUUUUGAGGCUUAACCGUAAAAGGGCCGUUGAUACUGGGAGUCUUGAGUGCGCGAGAGGUAGGCGGAAUGCGUGGUGUAGCGGUGAAAUGCAUAGAUAUCACGCAGAACUCCGAUUGCGAAGGCAGCGUAC